UACGUAGGGCGCAAGCGUUGUCCGGAAUUACUGGGCGUAAAGCGUGCGCAGGCGGUUUUGUAAGCCAGAUGUGAAAGCCCCGGGCUUAACCUGGGAAUGGCAUUUGGGACUGCAAGGCUUGAGUGCGGCAGAGGAGACUGGAAUUCCUGGUGUAGCAGUGAAAUGCGUAGAUAUCAGGAGGAAUACCGAUGGCGAAGGCAGGUCUCUGGGCUGACACUGACGCUCAUGCACGAAAGCGUGGGGAGCAAACAGG
rnacentral:rRNA from 1 species